GACGUAGGGGGCAAGCGUUGUCCGGAUUUAUUGGGCGUAAAGGGCGCGUAGGCGGCGGGGUAAGUCGGGUGUGAAAUCUCAGGGCUCAACCCUGAAACUGCACUUGAUACUGCUCUGCUUGAGGACUGGAGAGGAGACUGGAAUUCACGGUGUAGCAGUGAAAUGCGUAGAUAUCGUGAGGAAGACCAGUGGCGAAGGCGGGUCUCUGGACAGUUCCUGACGCUGAGGCGCGAAGGCCAGGGGAGCAAACGGG
rnacentral:rRNA from 1 species